UGAGCAAUCUGCCCUUCUCAUCGGAAUAAGCGUUGGAAACGACGUCUAAUGCCGAAUACGACCUCCUUUCGCAUGAUCGGAGGUGGAAAGCUCCGGCGGAGAAGGAUGAGCUCGCGGCCUAUCAGCUAGUUGGUGUGGGUAACGGCCCACCAAGGCGACGACGGGUAGCCGGCCUGAGAGGGUGACCGGCCACACUGGGACUGAGACACGGCCCAGACCUCCUACGGGAGGNAGCG
rnacentral:rRNA from 1 species